CCUACGGGGGGCAGCAGUGAGGAAUAUUGGUCAAUGGGCGGAAGCCUGAACCAGCCAAGUAGCGUGCAGGAUGACGGCCCUACGGGUUGUAAACUGCUUUUAUACGGGAAUAACGCGCCUUACGUGUAGGGCUUUGCAUGUACCGUAUGAAUAAGGACCGGCUAAUUCCGUGCCAGCAGCCGCGGUAAUACGGAAGGUCCGGGCGUUAUCCGGAUUUAUUGGGUUUAAAGGGAGCGUAGGCCGCAUGUCAAGCGUGCUGUGAAAUGUGCGGGCUCAACCCCGGCCUUGCAGCGCGAACUGGGGUGCUUGAGUGCGCGGAAAGCAGGCGGAAUGCGUGGUGUAGCGGUGAAAUGCUUAGAUAUGACGAAGAACCCCGAUUGCGAAGGCAGCUUGCUGGAGCGGAACUGACGCUGAUGCUCGAAAGCGCGGGUAUCGAACAGAAUUAGAUACCCUUGUAGUC
rnacentral:rRNA from 1 species